UCCUGGCUCAGGAUGAACGCUAGCGGCAGGCUUAACACAUGCAAGUCGAGGGGCAGCGGGAUGUAGCAAUACAUUGCCGGCGACCGGCGGAUGGGUGCGUAACGCGUAUGCAACCUACCUUAUACAGGGGAAUAACCUUUCGAAAGGGAGACUAACACCCCAUAGUAUUGAUUUAAGGCAUCUUAGAUUAAUUAAAUAUUUAUAGGUAUAAGAUGGGCAUGCGUAUGAUUAGCUAGUUGGUAAGGUAACGGCUUACCAAGGCGACGAUCAUUAGGGGUUCUGAGAGGAAGGUCCCCCACACUGGUACUGAGACACGGACCAGACUCCUACGGGAGGCAGCAGUGAGGAAUAUUGGUCAAUGGGCGCAAGCCUGAACCAGCCAUGCCGCGUGCAAGGAAGACGGCCUUAUGGGUUGUAAACUGCUUUUACAUAAGACUAACCGUAUAUUUGCGAAUAUACCUGAAUGUAUUAUGAGAAUAAGGAUCGGCUAACUCCGUGCCAGCCGCGGC
rnacentral:rRNA from 1 species